AAAGCCCAAAGUCAACCGAUACUGAGGGCUGAGGGUUAAAUUUGUUCACAUCAGCAUUAUGACGUCAUAAUGCCCAUAUCAGCAUUAUGACGUCAUUCCGUUGAAUAUUAUCUAAAAACUCCAUAUUUGGUCAUCUGUCGAGUUGAUAUGACGAUUUAAAAGUUGGUUAUUAGCCAAUCAGAAACCACGAAUCUUUCAAAUAAAUAAUAUUAAUAUUUAAUGAGCUGUCUCGGUUUCAUAGUAUAAUUUCUGAAUUCAAAUUAGUUGAGGUGACAUGUUUUAUUUAAUAAGUUAAUUUGUUUCGAGAAGAGUCAAAG
rnacentral:lncRNA from 1 species